rnacentral:rRNA from 1 species
UGCCAGCCGCCGCGGUAAUACGGAGGGUGCGAGCGUUAAUCGGAAUUACUGGGCGUAAAGCGCACGCAGGCGGUUUGUUAAGCUAGAUGUGAAAGCCCCGGGCUCAACCUGGGAACUGCAUUUGAUACUGGCAAACUAGAGUAUGGGAGAGAGAAGUAGAAUUCCACAUGUAGCGGUGAAAUGCGUAGAGAUGUGGAGGAAUAUCAGUGGCGAAGGCGACUUCUUGGCCCAAUACUGACGCUCAGGUGCGAAAGCGUGGGGAGCAAACAGGAUUAGAUA